CCUACGGGAGGCAGCAGUGAGGAAUAUUGGUCAAUGGGCGCGAGCCUGAACCAGCCAAGUAGCGUGAAGGAUGACUGCCCUACGGGUUGUAAACUUCUUUUAUAAAGGAAUAAAGUGAGGCACGUGUGCCUUUUUGUGUGUACUUUAUGAAUAAGGAUCGGCUAACUCCGUGCCAGCAGCCGCGGUAAUACGGAGGAUCCGAGCGUUAUCCGGAUUUAUUGGGUUUAAAGGGAGGGUAGAGGGGUUGUUAAGGGGGUUGUGAAAGUUUGGGGCUAAACCGUCAAAUUGCAGUUGAUACUGGCUGUCUUGAGUACGGUUGAGGUAGGCGGAAUGCGUGGUGUAGCGGUGAAAUGCUGAGAUAUCACGAAGAACUCCGAUUGCGAAGGCAGCUUACUAAGCUGCCACUGACAUUGAUGCACGAAAGUGUGGGUAUCAAACAGGAUUAGAUACCCGUGUAGUC
rnacentral:rRNA from 1 species